rnacentral:rRNA from 1 species
GACGAACGCUGGCGGCGUGCUUAACACAUGCAAGUCGAACGGUGAAGCUCCAGCUUGCUGGAGUGGAUCAGUGGCGAACGGGUGAGUAACACGUGAGCAACCUGCCCCUGACUCUGGAAUAAGCGCUGGAAACGGCGUCUAAUACUGGAUACGAGAAGGGUCCGCAUGGGCACUUUCUGGAAAGUUUUUCGGUUGGGGAUGGGCUCGCGGCCUAUCAGCUUGUUGGUGAGGUAAUGGCUCACCAAGGCGACGACGGGUAGCCGGCCUGAGAGGGCGACCGGCCACACUGGGACUGAGACACGGCCCAGGCUCCUACGGGAGGCAGCAGUGGGGAAUAUUGCACAAUGGGCGAAGGCCUGAUGCAGCGACGCCGCGUGAGGGAUGACGGCCUUCGGGUUGUAAACCUCUUUCAGCAGGGAAGAAGCGAAAGUGACGGUACCUGCAGAAGAAGCACCGGCUAACUACGUG